rnacentral:rRNA from 1 species
GAUUAACGCUAGCGGGAUGCCUAAUACAUGCAAGUCGAACGAAGUAUUUAUACUUAGUGGCGAACGGGUGAGUAACACGUAUCCAACAUACCCAUAAGAGGGGGAUAACUAGUUGAAAAACUAGCUAAUACCCCAUAGCAUAUUUUUACAUAAGUAUUAAUAUUUAAAGUUGCGUUUGCAACACUUUUGGAUUGGGGUGCGACGUAUUAGAUUGUUGGUGAGGUAAUGGCUCACCAAGUCGAUGAUGCGUAGCUGUGCUGAGAGGCAGAACAGCCACAAUGGGACUGAGACACGGCCCAUACUUCUACGGAAGGCAGCAGUAGGGAAUUUUCCACAAUGGGCGAAAGCCUGAUGGAGCAAUCCCGCGUGAACGAUGAAGGUCCUACAAGAUUGUAAAGUUCUUUUAUUGGGGAAGAAAUGUAAGAAAAGGAAAUGUUUUUUAUUUGACGGUACCCUUUGAAUAAGUAUCGGCUAACUAUGUGCCAGCAGCCGCGGUAAUACAUAGGAUGCAAGCGUUAUCCGGAUUUACUGGGCGUAAAGCGAGCGCAGGCGGAUUUACAAGUCUGAUGUUAAAGACAACUGCUUAACGGUUGUUUGCAUUGGAAACUGUAAGUCUAGAGUAUAGUAGAGAGUUUUGGAACUCCAUGUGGAACGGUGGAAUGCGUAGAUAUAUGGAAGAACACCAGAGGCGAAGGCGAAAACUUAGGCUAUAACUGACGCUUAGGCUCGAAAGUGUGGGGAGCAAAUAGG